UCAAGUUCAGGAGAAGCACCAUGCGUUUAAAUAAUAUAGGCCUAAGAGUUGUAACAUCUUAACCCACAUUGAGGUGUCAGAACUGUUAAAAGAUAAACUGAGGCAUAUUAAAAAUUUUAAGAGUGGACGUGAGCAGAAAUCGACUUGGAUCAGGCCAUGCUGAGAGGGCGAUGGCUAGGAGCGCACCACCGCCCGGAGCCGAGGAGAGAGUUUCAUAGAGAAGAUGCAGAAGCAAAGUAACGAAACUAUUCCAUUGGCUGCAGAUCAGCCAGAAGGACCUAGAGGGUGGAGGAGCUGUCUUUCUCCCCCACAGCACAUGUUUGGAAUUCAGUGGUGGGGAUCAGCUCUGAUAAACCAGGAAUCGCUGGUCAUGUUCAGCAAACACUUGAAUGCUGACAAAAGAGAAGUUUAAAUUGAUGGCAUUUCUACCUAAUUCGUUCAUCAAAUAUUUAUUGAGGAACUGUGCCUCAGGCACUGUUCUAGGUACUGAAA